rnacentral:rRNA from 1 species
AUUGAACGCUGGCGGCAGGCCUAACACAUGCAAGUCGAGCGGAUGAAGGGAGCUUGCUCCUGGAUUCAGCGGCGGACGGGUGAGUAAUGCCUAGGAAUCUGCCUGGUAGUGGGGGAUAACGUCCGGAAACGGGCGCUAAUACCGCAUACGUCCUGAGGGAGAAAGUGGGGGAUCUUCGGACCUCACGCUAUCUGAUGAGCCUAGGUCGGAUUAGCUAGUUGGUGGGGUAAAGGCCUACCAAGGCGACGAUCCGUAACUGGUCUGAGAGGAUGAUCAGUCACACUGGAACUGAGACACGGUCCAGACUCCUACGGGAGGCAGCAGUGGGGAAUAUUGGACAAUGGGCGAAAGCCUGAUCCAGACAUGCCGCGUGGGUGAAGAAGGUCUUCGGAUUGUAAAGCACUUUAAGUUGGGAGGAAGGGCAGUAAGUUAAUACCUUGCUGUUUUGACGUUACCAACAGAAUAAGCACCGGCUAACUUCGUG